GACGAACGCUGGCGGCGUGCCUAAUACAUGCAAGUCGAGCGCAGGAAAUCGACGGAACCCUUCGGGGGGAAGUCGACGGAAUGAGCGGCGGACGGGUGAGUAACACGUAAAGAACCUGCCCUCAGGUCUGGGAUAACCACGAGAAAUCGGGGCUAAUACCGGAUGGGUCAUCGGACCGCAUGGUCCGAGGAUGAAAGGCGCUUCGGCGUCGCCUGGGGAUGGCUUUGCGGUGCAUUAGCUAGUUGGUGGGGUAAUGGCCCACCAAGGCGACGAGGCAUAGCCGACCUGGGAGGGUGAUCGGCCACACUGGGACUGAGACACGGCCCAGACUCCUACGGGAGGCAGCAGUGGGGAAUCUUCCACAAUGGACGGAAGUCUGAUGGAGCAACGCCGCGUGAACGAUGAAGGCCUUCGGGUCGUAAAGUUCUGUUGUAAGGGAAGAACAAGUGCCGCAGGCAAUGGCGGCACCUUGACGGUACCUUGCGAGAAAGCCACGGCUAACUACGUGCCAGCCGCCGCCGUAA
rnacentral:rRNA from 1 species